CCUUGGGGGACAGAAAAAGCCAAGAGGAGAAGACCUAGUGCUCAUGUGGCUUCUCUGGACCAUCCUCCUGCUGGCACGACCUUUGUGGAGCCUGGGGACCCCCCUCUGCUCUCGGGAGCCUUUCAAGUUUCUGGUUGCUAUCAAGAAGAUUCUGGGCAACAGAAAUGAUGGCACACUCUACACCCCAGAUGAUUUGUCUGUGUGUCCAGCCGAGACUCUGGGCUGCUUCCGGCUGGAGCUGUCGGUGAUUGGUUUUGAGGAAGGCCCCACAGUGGAGAUCGUGGUGUUCCGCUUGCAACGCCUGCUGGAAGCUCUGGGGGCACAGCUGUGGCAGGCCGGCCAAGGCCCGUGCCCACCCUGUGAGAGACAUCCCCAGAGGCCCGUCGACCUCUUUCUGGCCAAGCUCUUGGAGUUAUUACAGGGGGCUUGCGCCGGGUACCUCCCAGCAGGAUGAGUCUUGGGGGACAGGUCCUCAGGCCAGAGAACCCAACUGCAGCCUCAGGAGCCUGGGAAAGAAGGCGAGAAAGAGGCAAACAAGUAAG